GUUUACAAACUGUCUUUCCACAUCCCACUGGAUGAGAAGACAGGAGAGAGGAUGGAUCCCAGGGACAGGACUUCUGCCCUUCAGUCACUCCCAGAAGACACAGCUAGUUAGGUAUAAUUCUGCAACAAAUCCAUUACUCCAAAACAAGUCCCUGAUCCUGCCAGCGACUUUUAAUGAUGCAAAUGUACCAAGGGAAGCCAUGGCAGAAGCUACUGGUGUUAAUAUGGGGCAACAAGCGAGAGUGGAGACCAAAUAAAAACGAGGAUGGGGUCAAGCCCUGAAAUGUGCAGUGGAGCUCUAGCCCUCCUCUUCAGUCCCAUGGCUGUUUCUGCCAAGGGCCUGGGAGAAAGCCAGGUGACAAUGUGUGACAGAGGAGGAGACAUCAGCUGUAACCAGACUCAUGAGGGCAAAACCUCUUUUCUCCCUCCUUACCCCUCAACUACUUAACUAUGCCAUAUUUUUUAAAAAAAUUGUUUGUCAACACUCUUCACCUGCGUGAAAAACUCAGUGGUACAGUAACAGUAGUUUAGUAAAUAAAGUCCCACAUUAAAGAAA